rnacentral:rRNA from 1 species
AGUGAACGCUGGCGGUAGGCCUAACACAUGCAAGUCGAACGGCAGCACAGUAAGAGCUUGCUCUUACGGGUGGCGAGUGGCGGACGGGUGAGGAAUACAUCGGAAUCUACUUUUUCGUGGGGGAUAACGUAGGGAAACUUACGCUAAUACCGCAUACGACCUACGGGUGAAAGCAGGGGAUCUUCGGACCUUGCGCGAUUGAAUGAGCCGAUGUCGGAUUAGCUAGUUGGCGGGGUAAAGGCCCACCAAGGCGACGAUCCGUAGCUGGUCUGAGAGGAUGAGUAGCCACACUGGAACUGAGACACGGUCCAGACUCCUACGGGAGGCAGCAGUGGGGAAUAUUGGACAAUGGGCGCAAGCCUGAUCCAGCCAUACCGCGUGGGUGAAGAAGGCCUUCGGGUUGUAAAGCCCUUUUGUUGGGAAAGAAAAGCAGCAGGUUAAUACCCCGCUGUUCUGACGGUACCCAAAGAAUAAGCACCGGCUAACUUCGUG